rnacentral:lncRNA from 1 species
AUGAUAACCGCCAGUUGUGCCCACACCAUUUGUUGAAAAUGUUGUGUUUUUUCCACUGGAUGGUUUUAGCUCCCUUGUCAAAGAUCUAGUGACAAUUUGCAAAUUCAUCUGGAAAAAUAAAAAACCUAGAAUCUAGCUGUGUGGAUUCAUUUCUGGGUCUUCAAUUCUAUUCCAUUGAUCUACCUGUCUGUUACCGUACCAGUACUAUGCAGUUUUUAUCACAAUUGCUCUGUAGUACAGCUUAAUGUCAGGCAUGGUGAUUCCACCAGAGGUUCUUUUAUUGUUGAGAAUAGUUUUUGCUAUUCUAGGUUUUUUAUUUCUCCAGAUGAAUUUGCAAAUUGUCCUUUCUAUCUUAGUGAAGAAUUGAAUUGGAAUUUUGAUGGGGAUUGCAUUGAAUCUGUAGAUUGCUUUCGGCAGGAUAGCCAUUUUUACUAUAUUAAUCCUGCCAAUCCAUGAGCAUGGGAGAUCUUUCCAUUUUCUGAGAUCUUCUUCAAUUUCUUUCUUCAGAGACUUGAAGUUCUUAUCAUACAGAUCUUUCACUUCCUAAGUUAGAGUCACACCAAGGUAUUUUAUUAGAUAUUUAUUUUUUAUUUACAUUUCAAAUGUUAUCCCCUUUCCUGGUUUCCCCUCCGAAAACUCCCUGACAUCUCUCCCCUUCCCCUCCUCACCAACCCACCCAAUCCUGCUUCCUGGCAUCCCCUACACUGGGGCUUAGAGUCUCUGAAGUCUUCUUACUCAGUCUAGAAGUCACCUUAUUAUCAAUAUUGCAUAAGAUUGCCUUUCAUGUAUUGCCAAAGGAACAGGCAGAAUAGGUAUUGUGGGCCAGUGGACGGUGCCACAAGACAGAAAAACUGGUAAAUUCAAGCAGAUUAAGUGACCUGGACAAUUCUCAUAAUUGAAAAUUGUAGGCAUUUAAAUUUGCUCCCAACCAGGUUCCUGUCCAGAAGCAUGUGACCAUGACACCCUACUAAGAAGGCCAUGACAACUGGUCUUGUAGCAUAGAAACCCAGCGUUUUCCGUACUAAUGACAUAUCUAGAUAGGCCCCAGGGUUUAGCCAUUAAGUUUCCCUUCCCAGGCAUUCCUUCCUACAAAAGGUAUUUAAUCUCUAUUUUACCCUGUAAGUCGUAUGCAUCCUUAUCCGCUAUGAAUAAACAGUUUGGACAAGCAAGGACUGUCUCCUUCAUCAGGGGAGCCUUCAUCGUACAGGACCUCACCUAAGAUUCAGCAGAAGGGCCCUCCCCACUCCUGGCACUCACCCUGAGCUAAGCCAGAUUCCCACCUCCUCAUGCCCCCUCGUCUCCGGCCUCCCCCACCCCCUCAUUCCCAGCAGCAGAGUCUGGAUGCACAGGAGUUUGAGAACCACAGCCUCUGUCUCAAUCCCUGCUGUUUAUCACCUGGAGAAACAUGGACUGGGACCCCUAUCGUAGGCUGCGUUUUGCCUUCCUUGAGCAGCAUGUGGGCAUCCCGAGAGCCUGCCAGCCCAGUGGCUAGAAAGGAACAUAGCCUAGAGCCCCUGUGUUUUGCUUCCCCAAGUGGCAUCUAGGCGGCUUUAAGACACCCCAGCUGCAAAGCGAAACACAGACCCACUGGUUUCCAUUUUACAAAUGAGGAAACCUUGGAUUCUAUUGUCACAUAGCUUUCUGGGGCAGAUUUGGGAUAUGGACUUUGUAACAUUAAAAUCUAAACUAAAUACUGUAGGUUUCGCCAUUAUUAUUUGCUGUUUUACUUGUGUCUUGUCUUUAUACUUUGAAGCAUUCUCUCUCUCUCUCUCACACUCUCUCUCUCUCUUUAAAGAACAUAUAUUACACUGGAUAUGGAAGUGUAUUCCUUUAGUCCCUGCACCUGGGUGCCGGCAGGCAGAUUUCUGUGAGUUCAAAUCCAGCUUGGUCUUCAUAGUGAAUUUCAGUCUAGUUAGGGCAAUGUACUGAGACCUUGUCUAAACAGCACAAUUGUUAGAAAAUGAACAUGUACUUAAUUUCUUUUUUUCCUAGUGCUUUCUUUAGUUCAUUAUACAAAGUGGUCACCAGUCUGAUAGAUAUAGAAUAUUACAAUGGGAUGCUUUUAAGAGAAUUAGUAAUGUGUGCUAUUUAAGCUUUCAAAGUCAUAAACCACAGUCCUCACUAGAUAUAAUCUAGUUGGACUUAAGUUGUUGUUAUAAGGCUAGGAAACAGUUAAGAUGUUUUAAACAAGAGGAAGGAAUAACUAGAGAGCCCUGCAAAGAAAGAAAAAUAUAUGGUUAUGUCUUUUGAGAUUAUGUUAAGGAUCAAUUUUAAGAAACAAUUCUUGAAAAAAUGUUAAAGUAUAUUGGCAUUAUUUGGGGUAAACUGGAAAGCAAGUCAGUUGAUGCUAAACUAUAGAAACAUUUGACUAAGCAGAAAAGUGGCUAGUGAUUAUAUUUGAUUAAAUGCAAUAUCAAAGGGAAGAUACUCUUAAUAUGCUUAGAUGAUAGGAUCAGGAUUGUUGCUUUUAUAGGAUUAAAAAAUAAAGGGAAACCAUAUUCAUUAUGUAUCUACAUUAUAAUUAGGAAUUGCAGACAUUAUAAUAAAGAACAAGAAGUCAUCUCUGGUUCUAAUAGUUUUGCAGCACUAAAGGAGACUGUGUUAGCUUUCUAUAACUGUCAUAAAAAUUUCUGAUAUAAUUUACAUGGAAGGUUCAUUUUAGCUUACGGUUUUACAGGUUUCAGUCUUGGUUUGUUGGUUCUGUUGCUUUCUGUCUUAAGGUAUAUAAAUAUGUAAGAAAGUUGUUCAUUUCAAAGGAGUCCACAUAUCUCCUUGAAAGGGUAUUCCCCUUUAGUGACAUAACUUUAUCACUAGGUUCCACCUCUCUACCACUUCGCAUUAAUGGCACAGUCUGGAAACUAAGUAAGUAGUAUUUGAAUCCUUGGGGAAAAACAUACCUAGAGCAUGAGGGAGAGUAGUGGUGGGCAUGUGCUAAAAGUAUCCUAAUAAGGAAAGUAACCCAAGAGCUUAGAGCCUUCAUAAGAGAUACUCUGUUUCUUACAGAUUCAGAUUCAGUGCUAUACUGCAAGGGAGAAAACAAAAAUGUAAAAUCCAAGUUUUCCCUCCCUGCCCCAGGCUCCCGGAAUAACAACUCUGAGACUCAAAAUACACCUUGGCCAUAGCUUUGGCUGUUCCCCAACUAGCUUACAAGUUAAUCAUCCCAUUAUUCGAUUUUAAGUUCUGCCAUGUAGUUGGUUACCUCUGCUCAGCUACCUGCUUCUGUCUUUCUCCCUGUUCCAGGGCUAAAUCCACUGCUCCUGGCUCUGUCCCAGAAUUUCAUCUCCCUACCCAUGUCUCACCUUGUAUUUCCUGCCUAAGCCUAUAGGCCAAUCAGCAUUUUAUUGUCAGGUGUGCUGCAUACAUAGAGGACACAAGAGAUUUUUCUGUACACAGUAAACUAUAAAAUGCCUGUAGCAGCAAGUGUUUUGGAAAUAAGUUAGAUAAUGUCAUUCUCCCCUUGUAUCACAAACUAUAGUUCCAUGCCUACUACAUAUAAAGUUUAUUAUAUGUUGAGUAAGAAACAGAAAAAUUGAAAAGAGGGCAGUUAUACAAUU